UUCAGGUAGCCUGGCGUCAAGUCGCGACUGACACAGACCCCUAAAUAUGAAUAUUAGAGAGUUGCAAAAGCCAAUAUAUCUACAUAUGUACUUUGUCACCCUGGGAUAAAAAUUAAAGUCACAACGAAUACCAUAAAAAGAUAUAGGAAAGGUAAAAAUUGAACAUUUCAACUCGCCACAUCCUCAACUUCUGGUUCUCACCUCUAGGAAGAAGUCCCACUCCUUUUUCAGUCCUCAUUCGAGUUUUACCUUACAACAAAUAAAAUCAAUCUAACAAUUUAAUACAAAUUCUGUUAAACAAUUUCCAAAAAAAAUUUCGAAAUGUCGACCCCAUCACUAUUCGUCGGCUUAAUGUUAUUCUUGUCGGUGACAACAAUCAGUGCUAUAACGGUUACAGUAAAUAAAGACGGCAAUUUCAGUGGUCAAGAGUUUUCUUUCGAGUUAGCACCGGGGGCUUGUGCCGCCCUACCGAACGACUGGGUCAACACGGUGAGCUCGCUGGGUCAUUCGGGUUGCGUGAAUGCCUGCCCGGGUCGUGGUUGUGAAGGUCAACUGUCCUGUGUCAGAUUUGAAGGAGCUGGGAAUCUCGAUUUCUCCAACACUGCCUUCAACGAUCAGUUCAAUUCUUUUUUCGCGUGUUAAAGGUGACAGGAAUUUCAUCAAGCUGUUAUGUAAAUACAUGCAACGUAUUUAUGUUAUGGGACAGUAUACAUUUUCUUAAAUGAUGACUUUGUUAAUUUAAAUCUCGAAAUAAAAUUUAAAAUGGGGCAAGUUAUGCCAAUUUGAAA